rnacentral:rRNA from 1 species
CCCUUAGAUGUUCUGGGCGGCCCGCGCACUACAAUGGCGUGUGCAGCGAGUGCCGAAGUAGAGUUUUCCGAGGUACUCUUGCAAUGCUCGUUUUGAUGGGGAUAGACCCUUGCAACUGUUGGUUUUGAACGAGGAAUUCCUUGUAAGCAUGGUUUAUCAUCCGACGCUGAAUGCGUCCCUGCCCUUUGUACACACCGCCCGUCGCUCCUACCGAUGAGUCGUCCGGUGAAGUUCGUAGACCUCGUGAUCGCGGAUCACUGGGGGAAGCAAAAUGAACCUCGCGGUUUAGAGGAAGGAGAAGUCGUAACA